AUGACGAACUCCAACGAAUGUUCUGAGAUGUGUAGCAGAUUGAUGCACAUAAGUAGAGAAUCGAUUUUGAUGUCGAAAAGAAGAGUGUGGGAUCCGCCGGUGAUUCAGAGAGCCGUGAUGAUGAUGAUGAUGAUGCAAUUCGCAGAGGUGUUAAAGAUGCGUCGCCGCCUUGUGUUGCAGAGAAAGAUUGAUGUUGUGAUGAUUGAAGAAUAUUGGAGAUCUGAGGUUUUUUUUAGAAAGGUGAAGAUUGAAGAUCAAUUGUGA